rnacentral:rRNA from 1 species
GCGAAUGGCUCAUUAAAUCAGUUAUCGUUUAUUUGAUAGUACCUUACUACUUGGAUAACCGUGGUAAUUCUAGAGCUAAUACAUGCUGAAAACCCCAACUUCGGGAGGGGUGUAUUUAUUAGAUAAAAAACCAACGCCCUUCGGGGCUUCUUGGUGAUUCAUGAUAACUUAACGGAUCGCAUGGCCUUGCGCCGGCGACGGUUCAUUCAAAUUUCUGCCCUAUCAACUUUCGAUGGUAAGGUAUUGGCUUACCAUGGUUUCAACGGGUAACGGGGAAUUAGGGUUCGAUUCCGGAGAGGGAGCCUGAGAAACGGCUACCACAUCCAAGGAAGGCAGCAGGCGCGCAAAUUAUCCAAUCCCGACACGGGGAGAUAGUGACAAUAAAUACUGAUACAGGGCUCUUUUGGGUCUUGUAAUUGGAAUGAGUACAAUUUAAACCUCUUAACGAGGAACAAUUGGAGGGCAAGUCUGGUGCCAGCAGCCGCGGUAAUUCCAGCUCCAAUAGCGUAUAUUAAAGUUGUUGCAGUUAAAAAGCUCGUAGUUGAACCUUGGGUCUGGCUGGCAGGUCCGCCUCACCGCGUGUACUUGUCCGGCCGGGCCUUCCUUCUGGAGAACCUCAUGCCCUUCACUGGGCGUGUUGGGGACCAGGACUUUUACUUUGAAAAAAUUAGAGUGUUCAAAGCAGGCCUUUGCUCGAAUACGUUAGCAUGGAAUAAUAGAAUAGGACGUGCGGUCCUAUUUUGUUGGUUUCUAGGACCGCCGUAAUGAUUAAUAGGGACAGUCGGGGGCAUCAGUAUUCAAUUGUCAGAGGUGAAAUUCUUGGAUUUAUUGAAGACUAACUACUGCGAAAGCAUUUGCCAAGGAUGUUUUCAUUAAUCAGUGAACGAAAGUUAGGGGAUCGAAGACGAUCAGAUACCGUCGUAGUCUUAACCGUAAACUAUGCCGACUAG